AAACUUGAGAGUUUGAUCAUGGCUCAGAACGUACGCUGGCGGCACGCCUAACACAUGCAAGUCGAACGAAGUAGCAAUACUUAGUGGCAGACGGGUGAGUAACAUGUAGGUAUCUGCCCUUUGGCCUGGAAUAACACGAGGAAACUUGUGCUAAUACCGGAUAAGUCUUUACGGAGAAAGCUUUAUGCACCAUUGGAUGAGCCUGCACUUGAUUAGUUUGUUGGUGGGGUAAUGGCCUACCAAGACUGUGAUCAAUAGCUGAUUUGAGAGGAUGAUCAGCCACAUUGGGACUGAGACACGGCCCAAACUCCUACGGGAGGCAGCAGUGGGGAAUCUUGCACAAUGGAGGAAACUCUGAUGCAGCGAUGCCGCGUGAGUGAAGAAGGCCCUUGGGUUGUAAAGCUCUUUCGUCGGGGAAGAAAAUGACUGUACCCGAAUAAGAAGGUCCGGCUAACUUCGUGCCAGCAGCCGCGGUAAUACGAAGGGACCUAGCGUAGUUCGGAAUUACUGGGCUUAAAGAGUUCGUAGGUGGUUGAAAUAGUUGGUGGUGAAAUCCCAGAGCUUAACUCUGGAACUGCCAUCAAAACUUUUCAGCUAGAGUAUGAUAGAGGAAAGCAGAAUUUCUAGUGUAGAGGUGAAAUUCGUAGAUAUUAGAAAGAAUACCAAUUGCGAAGGCAGCUUUCUGGAUCAUUACUGACACUGAGGAACGAAAGCAUGGGUAGCGAAGAGGAUUAGAUACCCUCGUAGUCCAUGCCGUAAACGAUGUGUGUUAGACGUUGGAAAUUUAUUUUCAGUGUCGCAGGGAAACCGAUAAACACACCGCCUGGGGAGUACGACCGCAAGGUUAAAACUCAAAUGAAUUGACGGGGACCCGCACAAGUAGUGGAGCAUGUGGUUUAAUUCGAAGAUACGCGCAGAACCUUACCAACACUUGACAUGUUCGUCGCGACUUUAAGAGAUUAAAGUUUUCGGUUCGGCCGGACGAAACACAGGUGCUGCAUGGCUGUCGUCAGCUCGUGUCGUGAGAUGUUGGGUUAAGUCCCGCAACGAGCGCAACCCUCACUUUUAGUUGCCAUCAUUAAGUUGGGCACUCUGAAAGAACUGCCAGUGAUAAGCUGGAGGAAGGUGGGGAUGACGUCAAGUCCUCAUGGCCCUUACGUGUUGGGCUACACACGUGCUACAAUGGUAUCUACAACAGGAAGCAAGACUGCGAAGUUAAGCAAAUCCUUAAAAGAUACCUCAGUUCGGAUUGCACUCUGCAACUCGAGUGCAUGAAGCUGGAAUUACUAGUAAUCGUGGAUCAGCGUGCCACGGUGAAUGCGUUCCCGGGUCUUGUACACACCGCCCGUCACACCAUGGGAGUUGGUUCUACCUUAAGGCAAGGUUUUAAACCCUUGACCACGGUAUAGUCAGCGACUGGGGUGAAGUCGUAACAAGGUAGCCGUAGGGGAACCUGCGGCUGGAUUACCUCCUUU
rnacentral:rRNA from 1 species